rnacentral:rRNA from 1 species
AAGUUGAACGCUUGAUUUUCACCGAAGCUUGCUUCACCGAAAAUCAACAGUAGCGAACGGGUGAGUAACGCGUGGGUAACCUACCUUUCAGUGGGGGAUAACUAUUGGAAACGAUAGCUAAUACCGCAUAACAAUGUUGGAUGCAUAUUCGACAUUUGAAAGUACCAAUUGGUACACUGAGAGAUGGACCCGCGUUGUAUUAGCUAGUUGGUAGUGUAAUGGACUACCAAGGCGAUGAUACAUAGCCGACCUGAGAGGGUGAUCGGCCACAUUGGGACUGAGACACGGCCCAAACUCCUACGGGAGGCAGCAGUAGGGAAUCUUCGGCAAUGGACGAAAGUCUGACCGAGCAACGCCGCGUGAGUGAAGAAGGUUUUCGGAUCGUAAAACUCUGUUGUUAGAGAAGAACGUUGCAUAGAGUGGAAAAUUAUGCAAGUGACGGUAUCUAACCAGAAAGGGACGGCUAACUACGUGCCAGCAGCCGCGGUAAUACGUAGGUCCCGAGCGUUGUCCGGAUUUAUUGGGCGUAAAGCGAGCGCAGGUGGUUUAAUAAGUCUGAUGUAAAAGGCAGUGGCUCAACCAUUGUGUGCAUUGGAAACUGUUAGACUUGAGUGCAGUAGAGGAGAGUGGAAUUCCAUGUGUAGCGGUGAAAUGCGUAGAUAUAUGGAGGAACACCGGUGGCGAAAGCGGCUCUCUGGACUGUCACUGACACUGAGGCUCGAAAGCGUGGGUAG